UGAGCGUCUAGAAAAGCGCUAUAUAAAUGUGACUGUAACGAACUAACUAAAGUGUGCUUAUGAUGUUUGACUUCUUCAUUCCGUUUCUCUCUAAACUGGUAUGUGGCCUUUUGAAAGGCAAAUAAGAGUGAUCUCAUUUAAAAAAAAAUAAUAAAAAAAAAAGAAGUGGAAACUCUAAAUUAAGUUUGGUUACAUGACUAAUGUUCUUGCAUCCGUAAGCAAUGAAUAACUCCUCUGUGUUGAACCUAGAACAUUUCAUAUGGGAUGGGAGGAAGUGGUGAGUUGCAUGGGUGUGUUUUUCCAUAUUUGUUAUAUUCAAUUCACUUAAAUGCAGCUUCACCUAUAUAGCAUUUUUAACAAUGGACAUUUUCACAAAGCAGCAGGUUUACAAAAACCUGGAUAGACAGUCAGGUCCCUAAAUAUUUGAACAGUGGCACAAUUUUAAUCAUUUGAAUCAAGUGAAUCAAUUCACUUAUACGCAUGCUAGACACUAGAUACUGUAUAUCUCUAUGCACAUACAUACAUACACAGAUAUAUACAUGUAUACCCAUGUACAUACAUACCUAUACAUACACACCUAAAUACACACAUCUAACCAUAUAAAUGCGAAUACAUAUACAUAUCCACACUAUUCUGCACAUAUUUUUAAAUAAGGGUGCAGCCUAAUCGCUGCAGGAAUAAAAGACCUAAAAUAUCUGUCCUUCUUACACCGAGGAGGAACCAACCUCCUGCUAAAUGUACCCUCCUGUGCACCAACGAUACUGUUUAAAGGGUGAGCAGUUUUACACAAAUGACAGAGCCUUUGGCCAGCAUUCUCCUCUCCAUCACCACCUCCAGCGGGUCAACACUAGUCCCCAAAACAGAGCUGGCUUUCUUUAUAAGUUUAUUCAGUCUGUUUAGGUCACUGAUCCUGGUUCCACUUCCUCAGCGCACAACAGCAUAGAAAAACCUGAACUCUAAAAGAUCUCAGCCUCAUGAAAAAAUAGAGACGGCUCUGGCCUUUUCUGCAUAUCAUCUCAGCGUUAGUGGUCCGGCUCAAUUUGUUGUCCAAGUGCACUCCCAAAUAUUUACAAGAGGUGACUAUCUGAAUCUUGUCAUCAUUAAUUCUGAUAGGAGACACAUGUUUAAAUCUCCUAAAAUCAAUCGUCAUCUCCUUAGUUCUGUUUACGGUAAGCUUUCCACCAGGCUCCUAUACUCCUCUUCCUUUCCUUCACUUACACUUCCCAUGACCACAGAGUCGUCUGAAAAUUUCUGGAGAUGACAUGCUCCAGUAUCAUACUUAAAGUCAGAGGUGUAAAAAGUAAAAAGGAAAGGUACCAAAACAGUCCCCUGUGGCACACCCACAUUACUGACUGUCAGUUCUGACCUACAGUUUUGUAUAGGCACAUACUGUGGUCUUUCUUUCAGGUAGUCCAUGAUCCAUGUUACAAUAGAGGCAUCAACGUGAGCUGAUAUGAACUUAUCUCGGAGUAAACCUGGGUGGAUGGAAUUAAAAGCACUUGAGAGAUCAAAGAACAUACAUCUCACUGUGCUCCCAGCUUUCUCCAGAUGUGAAUAAGCCUUAUGUAGGAGAUAAAUGAUGGUGUCCUUCACUCCCACAUGAGACCGAUACGCAAACUGCAAAGGAUCCAUCAUACUUCCAACCGCAGAUCUAAGAUCCCAUUUUUGGGCACUGGCACCAAACGAGUUCCAGAGAACAGGCCACCGUGAGAGUGGGGUCUACGCGGAUGGAUAAAGCAAGACGGAGGUAUAGAAGAUAUGCCUGCUGAGGGAGAAGAAGGCGAGAGCUGCAUGUCAGGCACCAAUCCCUGACUGGACCGAUUAAAGAACAUAUUCAGCUCAUUAGCUCUGUCCAGACUCUGUUCUAAUUGCUGAGUAUUGAUGGCUUAUAUCCAGAAAUCUUCCUCAUUCCACUCCACACUUCUCUCAUGUUGUUGUUCUGCAGCUUGUCCUCUAAUUUACUCCUGUAUGGCUCCUUACCCUCCUUCACUUUCACCUUCAGCUCCCUCUGCACUUUCCCCUGAGCCUCCUUAUCACCCUCUGUAAAGACUCGCUUCUUCUCAUUAAGCAGUGCCUUAAGUUGACUGCUGACCCACGGUUUGUUAUUUGGAAAACAGUAUACAGUCUUUGUUGGUACAGCACAGAAGUGUAUAUAUCCAGUGACGCAGUAAGUGAGCUUGUUAAUAUCAUCACCGUUCAUAUCACACAGAACAGUCCAUUUUGUUUCCAGAACUUUUGUGGCUAGUCUCUGUAUUUAUUUGCGAUUUCCAAUCUGGCGUUCUGAUUAAUCCUGCUGAUGAGUGGUUUGCAUCUUGUGGUAUGGCCUCUAUAUUUCUCAUCUCUUCUGAAGUCUUCUUCAAGCGGUGGACUGUGAUACCUUCACUCCUUUCCUGUAGCGGUUGUUGGUGAUGUCACUGACUGUUGUUUUGGGGGGUUUUCUUAACAGCGCUCACAAUGUUUCUGUAAUCAACUGCUGUUGUUUUCCUUGACUGACCAACGGUGUCUGUUGUUGAAACCCCCUAAGGGGUUCCUUUCUUUUUCAGGAAUUCCAAAUUGUUGCAUUGGCUAUGCCCAGUGUUUGUGUAAUGCCUCUGAUUGAUUUUCCCUCUUUUCUCAGCUUCAAAAUGGCUUGCUUUUCUCCCACAGACAGCUCUCUGAUUUUCAUGUUGGCUUAUCCUUUUUAACAACAAAUGCAGUCUUUACAGGUGAAACUGAAGGAUAAAACCAAGAGUAGAUAUUCUGUUUAUUGUUCUAUUUAUUAUUGAGCUAUUUAUUGCUUAAACAAUUAAUCUUACAGGACACACCUGGGUAACAAAGAAACGCCUGUCAGUCACAUGUUCCAAUAUAUUUGCUCACCUACAAAUUGGGUGGUCUGAUACAAAAUGUUCUGUAAUAUAACACAUCUACAUAUAAAUACCAGGAAAUAAAAGCUGGUAUUCUAAACUGUCUUCUCAUAUUCAUCUUUUGAUCGCAAACACAGGUGUCUUCAGUCUACAGCAAAAACAAAUGUAUUGGUCUUACCAUUCCAAUAGUUUUGGAGGGGACUGUAAAUUCAUGCUCACCUGCUGGUAAGGCAGCUGGCUAACAAGGAGGCUUAAAUAGAUCUGGUGGACUUAAGGCUAGUCUAAUCUAAUUUGUGUGGUGGUCUGUUGUGAGUGUGAACAGAGAUCAGGCGACGUUGAGGCUCCUGUUUAAACGCAGUAACUGACUUUUACCUCAGGUCAUGAGUCUGAUGUGGACGAUGCUGAUAAUCAGAGAGAGAAGUAAUUUCCCAAUUUUGAAAC